GAUGAACGCUGGCGGCGUGCCUAAUACAUGCAAGUCGAGCGAACAGACGAGGAGCUUGCUCCUCUGACGUUAGCGGCGGACGGGUGAGUAACACGUGGAUAACCCACCUAUAAGACUGGGAUAACUUCGGGAAACCGGAGCUAAUACCGGAUAAUAUAUUGAACCGCAUGGUUCAAUAGUGAAAGACGGUUUUGCUGUCACUUAUAGAUGGAUCCGCGCCGCAUUAGCUAGUUGGUAAGGUAACGGCUUACCAAGGCAACGAUGCGUAGCCGACCUGAGAGGGUGAUCGGCCACACUGGAACUGAGACACGGUCCAGACUCCUACGGGAGGCAGCAGUAGGGAAUCUUCCGCAAUGGGCGAAAGCCUGACGGAGCAACGCCGCAUGAGUGAUGAAGGUCUUCGGAUCGUAAAACUCUGUUAUUAGGGAAGAACAAAUGUGUAAGUAACUAUGCACGUCUUGACGGUACCUAAUCAGAAAGCCACGGCUAACUACGUG
rnacentral:rRNA from 1 species